AAUAGAAGAACUCAGUCUAAGAACGCUACGUCCUGUGGCAACGACUGGGAGACCAACAUCAUACUGUUGC
rnacentral:sRNA from 1 species